GGGGUUGUGGCUCAGUGGUAGAGCACUUGCCUAGCACACAUGAGGCCCUAGGUUCUAUCCUCAGUACCA
rnacentral:tRNA from 1 species